rnacentral:rRNA from 1 species
UAACCUAAGAGUUUGAUCCUGGCUCAGAACGAACGCUGGCGGCAUGCCUAACACAUGCAAGUCGAACGCUAUUUAUAGAGUGGCGCACGGGUGAGUAACGCGUGGGAACCUGCCUUUUUCUGCGGGAUAAC